GGGGACAAGCUCUUGGGCCAAACUGGUGUGAAAUACAGAUACAAGUUGCAAUGACUCCAUGUGAGCAAUUGAUUAGACCAUAUGAUUUACAACAAACGAUUCAAGAUGCACUUGGUGCACCAGUUGCUUGGCCUUGUCAUUUGGUGAGAUAUGCACUUAAAUACAUUGCGGAUUUUCUGGAAUUUUAGUUCUAGUUAUGAUGAUCUAAUGAUCCCCUUGGUCUUUGUGCACAGGUGGAACCAGCUGAAGAAUGAUGGGGACUUCGUGGUUAUGCCUGAGGACUCUCAACAAAAUGGAAAGUUUGGAAGCUACUUCUACUUCUUUCAACUUAUUAGGGAUGCGAGUCUUUUAUUUUGUGCUUCCGAUAGAGCUUUCAAGUUAUUGUAAAUGAGAAUCUUUCGGUACUGGUUUGAUAUUUUAGUACUUGCUUUUAGCACUUGUUUGCGAUUUUAGUAUUUGCUAUGUUUGUACUUGUUAUCGACUUUUAAUUCAGUGAAUUAUAUUUGAGUAUCGACUUCUUCUUUUACAUUGCUAUAUGCAUUCUGCUCUUUGGGAUAAUUUUACAAGUCCCUUGGGAUUCUGGUUGAUGGAAUGUACAGCAGGGAGGACUAAUUGCAGGUUGCUUCCAUAUAAAAAAAAACCAGGGAAAAUUCUCCUAGCAAUUAAAAGUGUCAGCAUAGCUUAGCUUCGAAAAACACUAAUAACAAAUGGGCAUGUCGUCCAACACAUUGUAAAUUCACAUGGUUACGUGUCCUUAAAGCCAUAUAUUAAGACAACUCAAGAUGCCUUCAUAAAUUUGAUAUCCUACUGAUUCCCUACUGAUGUCCUAACGCUAUACAGACACUUUCGAUUAUCACAAAAAAAGGAUUUUGUUGGCAGAGGUAAAGAUAUAGCAGCAUGGUUUGCCUGACAAAUUUGAAUGCUGCUAAAGAUUUGAGGCUAUCCCCACAUUGGAAGGGACAACACUCGCCCUGGGUGUCAGGAUAGAUAAAGUGUCAGGUUAGAUUUCUAUACUGACACCUUUAAAUGCCGCUAAAGGCCAUUUUUGUUGUAGUGAUUUAUACAAAGAUGAAUAAUUUAAAUACAAAAAUUAACAAAAAUACUACAUGUUCAUUCAUAUUAUUUUUAAAAAAUUAAUGAAUUCUAAAUGUUCAAUUAUUUACUAAUUUUUAAAAUUUUGUUUACAUACUUUCACAAUAAUUUGAUAGUAUACAUCAAAUAAUGUAUCUCAUAUCAAAAACUUGGUAGAUAUUAUUUUUUUAGAUAAUUUAAAUUUUUAUAAUGAUCAUAAAUUUAGAAUUAUAUAUUCACAUUUAAUUAAGUAGAAAAGAUCUAGCAAUCCACUUUUUUCAUCAAUAAAUAUUUAGUUUCCAACAAUAUUGGUAAAUCUGUCGGUGUAAUAGUUAAUUCUCUGUUUUGCACCAAGUUAAUUCAAAAUUAAGGAAAGAGAUAAUGAACAAUUUGAAUACUAAUCAAUGAUAUGGUGGUGAAAGGAAGUAAAUUAUGGAACAUGCAACAUUUCAAUAAUUGUGAUUUGAAAAAAGUUUUAUAGUUGUAUAUGUAAUAAUUUAAUAGAAAGCAGAAUUAUUAAGAUAAGAUUAGUUGAUUUUUAAAACAAUAUCAUUAAGAUAAGAUUAGUUAUUUUUUAAAGUUAUUUUAAAAUUAAACAUAAUUUUUAACAUAUAGCAUAAUCCAAAUAGGAUUCAAUAUUGAUGAACCUAAACAAAUAAACACACAUACAUCCACAAGAACAAUAUCAAGAAUUUGAUGUAUGAGACAAAGGAAAUUUUCUAUUAAUCAAACGAGGCCUGGCUACACCACACAAAAGCAACUAAGACUACACACUAACUUGUACUACCUCUACAUAUGUCUUGCGACUCACACACACACACACACACACACACACAUAUAUAUCAAGACCUAACUACUACUAGUACUAGUACAACUAGGAAUUGAACUCUACGUGGCCCCACCAUAUUAACCAAACAAAUUACCUAAUACUAGUAGCACCAGGUUGGUUUAAUAAUUUCCUACAUAGCCUCCCUUUAACCAAGCUCCACUAAUCUAAACAUGCCCAACAUCUUCUUCAACUUCACAAAAGUUUCAGUUUUCAGUGCUUUGGUGAAAAUGUUAGCCAUUUACUCUUUAGUUCUACAAUAAUCAACUUUAAUCUCCCUCUCUCGAAUCAACUCACGUAUGAAGUGAUAUUUGAUGUCAAUAUGCUUGCUACGCCUAUUAAAUACUGGAUUCUUGUACAACUCAAUCGCUGACUUACUAUCACAAUAUAUUUUUGUAGGAUCAACCUGCUUGUGUUGUAGAACACCAAGCAUGUGAUGCAACCACAAAACUUGAGUGGCACUGUUAGUUACUGCAAUAUACUCUGCUGCAGACAAUGCAAUCACCUGCUACUUUUUUGAACUCUAGGAAAAUAUGCCAGAACCAAUAAAAAAUGCCUACCCUGAAGUACUCUUCCUCUCUACUGUAUCACCUGUCCAAUCAUUAUCUGUGUAGCCAAACAAUUCAAUUAGAUCAUUUCCUGAAUAAAAAAUGCCAUCACUAUGAGUACCUCCAAUAUAUCUCAAAAUCCUCUUAGCCGCCAGCAAAUGUGACUGACGUGGAUUUUCCAUGAACUUGCUAAUCAAACCAACAGUAAAAUUGAUAUUUGGCCUCGUAGAUGUCAAAUAACUCAAAUUCCCUACCAAACUUUUAAAGUAAGUAGGAUUUAUAUAUCGACCAGCAUCCUUCUUGAUCAACCUUAAUUUUUCUUCAACUGGCGUCAUAAUCUGCUUCGUUGUAUCCAUCUUAAAUUUCUUUAAAAUGUCACAUACAUAUUUCUUUUGAGAUAUAAAAAUCUCACUAUCAGAUUGAAAGACUUCAACUCCCAAGAAAUAUGACAGGAGUCCCAUAUCUAUCAUGUCAAACUGUUUAAUCAUAGCCUCCCUGAACUCUGCAACCAUCUCUGGAUUAUUACGUAUAAAAAUUAAAUCAUCUACAUACAAGCACGGAAUAAGAAUAUCACUACGAGCAGAAGAUUUAAUAUAUAAUGUGUGCUCAUAUGGACACCUCUGAAAAUCACGAGUCAAAAAAUAGAAAUCAAUUAUUAUAUACCACGUUCGUGGGGCUUGUUUCAAUCCACAUACGACUCUCUUCAAUCUAUACACCUUAUUUUCCUGAUCUCUUCUGACAAAUCCUACUGGCUGCUCCAUAUACACUUCUUCAUUAAGAACUCCAUUCAAGAAAGCUGACUUGUCAUUCAUUUGAUAAAUUCUUGAGUUAUUUUGGGUAGUUAGAGAAAUUAUCAUAUGGACUGUGCCAAGCCUGGCAAGGGGUGCAAACACUUUAAAAUAGUCUUGCCUUGUAUCUAUCAACUUCUCCACUAGGUUUAAAUUUUGUUUUAUACACCCACUUCACUCUAAUGACUUUUGUACCAGUUGUAAAAGAAGUAAGCUGCCAGGUGUCAUUCGUCUCUAUUGUAUGAAUUUCUUCCUCCAUUACUUUUACCCAAUGAUCAUUACUGGUUGCCUCCUCAUACAUAACUGGGUCACAAUAUGCGAACAAAGCAAAAUUAACAAUAUAUUCUUCAGAAGGAACAUCAUCUGGUGUAACAACAUAAUCCUACAGACGAGCUGUGAUGCAAAAGUGAACUCAUGUUCGGAUCAUCAAAUCUAAAAGUGUCAAAGUGCAAGUUGAAGUGUAAACCAGUGGACGGAUAACAAAUCAUGGGACCAAACCGGUUAAUAAUCAUAAGGAAACCAUCCUACGGUUUCAUGGUAGAUUUCAUUUUUCAAUUUUAGUAAUUUUUAUAGUUUAAGUUAUUUUCUGUUUCCUAUUGUUAGUUUGGUGGAAUAAAUGGCUAAAGGUCAUGUGGACCAUUAUUGAGCCAAUUAGAGCUAGUUAGUUUCCUAUUUUAGUCGAGUUAGGGUUUAGGCAAGUAGUUAUUGUUUUCAAGUUUGGUUAGAAUUGUUGAGUCUUGCAAAAGGCUAUAAGUAAAGCCUUAGUCCAACAUUAUUUUCAGAUUAAUAAGAUUGAGAAUUUUCCAGCAAAGUGCUGUUGAGGGAAACCUCUUUUCAUGACUUGCGAAAACUAACUUGAGAAUCUUAGUGCUACCCUAAGGUGAUCGAAGACUUAUCGAUUGAGAAACGCACUCAAUCAUGGCAUCUAACUACCGUUGGUUCGAUACUCGAGUCGUUCCUCGUGUUGUUCUCAACUCCGUCUUCCAACAUUGAUACCAAUCAAAUCUUCUAGGUCCUUGUCUUCGUAUAGAGUUCGUAUCAGUUGGUAAUCAGCGCUAGUUGAAGAGGUAUUACAAAUAUCCCUUGUUUUCUAUUUUGUUUGUGUCUAGGGUUUUAUCCGUGUGUUGUUUUUACUGUUACUGUUUGUGUUCCGAAAAAAAAAGAGUACUAUUCACGACUGUAGCAGCACUAUUCAUCGCUACUGUAGCAGUACUAUUUAUCCCGAAAUCACUGUUCACUUAUAAAUUUUUUUUGUUUUAGUUGUUAAUCUUUCUCUUGUUCAUUGUUUCGUUUGUGUUUUGAGUCAAAAAAAAGGAUAGUGUUCACUUUUGUUUAAGAAACCCGAGAACAAAAAAAAUUUAGGGUUUUUUGUUCAAGUUGUGUUGUUUGUGAAUUAAGCAACUUGUUUGUACCUUUUUCUUGAAGUUCUCGACUUGAUCAGCAGUUGUUCUUGAAGUUCUUGAUCAUACAAAUUGAAAUUCUUGGAGUCUUGAAGUUCAAAUUUGUGUUUCUCAAGUUUCUUGAAACUCUAGCUGGAAAUUCUUGGGAUUCUUGAUUGAAUUCUUGGGUUGUUUUGGGGAAAUUUCUUUGUGAUUGUUGAACCAUGGGUAUUGCUGAAAAUUUCUGGAAAUUCUUGAAGUUAUCAUGUGAAAUUCCUUGAAUUCUUGACUGCUUUUCAUUGGGUGAGACAACAAGGCAAGAAACAAUCUUCAAUUAUUGUUCUUGUUGAAACCCUAGUUCUUGUGUGGCUGUCCGAAUAAAAAAAAUACAGCCAUGAAAUUUGAUCAUAAAACAUCAUAAUAGCUGCCACAAUUCUUGUUAGUAAGGUAUAAAUUUUCUUUAAUAAAGCAACUGAAAGAGCCGUGUCCAAAUUUCCUAUUUCCAAUAGGAUUUCCAAAGGAAAUUUCCACUAUGUGGUUCCCUUUUCUAAAUCUGAUUGGAAACACAUCAAGUUGAGGAAAAUAAUUCAAGUUUGGGUAGUAAAAAGGAAUUUCUAGCCUCUUAUUUCCAGAAUUUCAGUUUCAAAAUUUCAACCAAAUCCAAUUUCAUUCCAGCUCCAAAUUCAACCAAGUCCGAACUUCUAUUCUAGUGAGCCUUGCCUUACUUUGAUAGCUGUCUUAUCCGUUGCUUUCCAGGAAAAUCUAGGUUGUUUUCUUGUAUAUUCUUUUUAGUAGUUUGAGUCCAUAACAUUCGAGUCUUGUGCCUUAAAUUCCUGAUUACAUCAUUAGAGUUUUUAGCCCAAUCGAACCAACUUUUGCCACAAGUGUGAAUUGAAUUUUGGUAAGCCUACCUUGAGGAAGUUACUAAUUUAUUCAAGCCAAGUGAGUAACAAGCUGUAGAAAUUGAGCUGGUGAGAUUCUUAGAGUGAUUAUUUGAGUGUAAACAUGAGAGUGAAUGGAUAUAUGUGAGUUAUGUAUGGUGAGGAACUUUCUUUCUUUAUUGCUAACCAUUUGCAGGUCACUUAAACAUGCCUCAUGGAGCUGUAUGUCAUACAUAUCAUCAAGAAUUCUUUGAGUACGAACCUUCCAAGCGUAGGGGUUUUGAUCACUCUAGUUCCAAAACUUCUUUGAGAUUGUCUCAUUCGCAUCAUGAAUAUCAUACGUUUUGGGAAGAAAUGGAACAUUUCUGUGCUUUGAGUAUCUAUAGAUAUAAAUGCACUUGUGAUGAGUAUGAAGAUGAACAAAGGAGGUUGCAUCCAGCAUCUAAGAAGAGUUCAUCCUCAACCAAAAGAGCUUCAUCUAGGGGAAGUCACGAAAACCGAGUAAUGGAGCCUAAGAGGUCUCGAAGUGAGUCGAAGUCACGUGAAUCAAUGGAUGAAUUGCGAAAUUUUAUGAAAGAAUGGGCUGAUUCUAUGACGGUCAAAUUUAGGAAAAUGCUUGAAACUUCAUCUACACUACCUUCUAGUCAAAAGCUUCAUGUACCAAGUGAGAAUGAGUUCGAUGAUGUAAUACAUGAGAGUGAGCAUGAGGUACAAACCGAAGGAAUUGAAAGAGAGAGUUGAAAAUCUGAUGAGAUGAGUGGUAGAAAGGAAUAAAAGAGAGAAAGUGCGCUAAUUUUGAGCAAAAAUGUGAGGGUUUAUUGUUUUCCAAAUGAACUUACAUUUCCUUUGUUUAGUUUUUCUUGUUUUAUGCAGGUUAAGCAAGGAGAGAUUUAGUUGAUCAUGGCAUGUCCUAUUCCUAAAUCCAUUGGCGAAUACCAAAAUUUUCAUGGGGUUUGCAUCUUAAGUGUUGUAUCUCUUUGCUAUCCAUUGAUGUUCAACUUCAACCAUGAGCCUGCUUUGCUUAUUGGGAGGAAUAAUAAAGUUUCAAAGGGAGUUCUUGCACUUGAAUCUUGUUCUAUGCCUUCUUACCAUUUAGCAACAAGUGUUCCAAGUGAUAAUCAAUCUAAUGAAGCCGAUCAUGUUUGAGGUGUUCUUCAUUGUGUCGGUUGCCUUAUGGAGGAUCCAAGAAGAUGUGAUUUUGCUGCCAAUGAACCGUACAUCUUACCUAGCAUCAUGGAUCCGAAACUACAUGCAUUAUCUUCAAGGAGCCGAUGGAGUAAAGCUAUGAGUUUUCCAUGGCUGAUCGUAAGUAUUUUCAAUUUGUCCAAGUGACAUGUGAGAAGUAAUGUGUGGUUUGUGACAUCUACAAGUAUCCUUUUUUUCAAGAGGACCAAUGUGGUGAUGUUAAGCAUGGGAUUCAUCACGCACUUGCUCUUUUUUGUUCAAUCAUCCCAUCCAUGACUUGAGGACAAAUCUUUUUCAAGAGGAAGGGAAUGAUAUGAAAGUGAGCUCAUGUUUGGAUCAUCAAAUCUAAAAGUGUCGAAGUGCAAGUUGAAGUGUAAACCAGUGGACGGAUUACAAACCAUGGGACCAAACCGGUUAAUAAGCAUGAGGAAACCAUCCUACGGUUUCAUCGUAGAUUUCAUUUUUCAAUUUUAGUAAUUUUUAUAGUUUAAGUUAAUUUCUAUUUCCUAUUGUUAGUUUGGUGGAAUAAAUGGCUAAAGGUCAUGUGGACCAUUAUUUAGCCAAUUAGAGCUAGUUAGUUUCCUAUAUUAGUCGAGUUAGGGUUUAGGCAAGUAGUUAUUGUUUCCAAGUUUGGUUAGAAUUGUUGAGUCUUGUAAAAGGCUAUAAAUAAAGCCUUAGUCCAACAUUAUUUUUAGAUUAAUGAGAUUGAGAAUUUUCCAACAAAGUGCUAUUGAGAGAAACCUCUUUUCAUGGCUUGCAGCUUUGGUAGUGGUUGAUUAUUUGUUAGAAAUGAGUUACCAUUUGAUGGUUUUAAGCCUAGAUGAAGGGCUAUCUUGAUAUGCUUACUUAUGGUGUUUGAAUUGGGUUGAUUUGAGAAAAAAAAAUGAAGCCUUAAAUGGCUGGAAAAAUUGAUAAAUACAAAGGGUAUGGUGCCCAAAUUUUCGUUCGAGGGAUAAAUGAGUGAACUUGGAACUUGAGCGGUGAUUCGUGGUCGAAUUGAACUUCGGUUGUUUAGAGUCUUCAAGUGUCUUUUAGUAGAGGUAUAUAAGCUGAAUUUUUUGUCAAAACUCGUACACUUUAUAAGGCGAAAGUAGCGACCACUUUAAAUACGAUUUCCUAGUUUUUUUUAACACCAAGUUGUGAACUUAUAAGUGUUAAACGCUUCUUUAUCGAAACCAAAAGAGCGAGCAUGAAUUUUCUAAGUGAAAUGAGUACUACUUAAACAAGUUUUAUUUAUUUGAUUUUCUUUAAGCGAAACCCUAUAUUUUGAACCCUAAUUGAUAGCAAACUGUUAUAUGGUAUUUUAUCGCAGAUUUGGACUCCAGCCAGGGAGUUGAACUUGAGCAUGGUUUUGAAAAGCAAUGACUCAUUGGUGAGUGUUUUCCAAUGCAUGAUUGAACUUAAUCCUUGAAUGAAAUGAUUUGCUAAUGCGGUUGAAUAAUACUUGACUUGUUUGGAUGAGGCGAGAGUGUACUUUAUCGCACUUGUCCUCCCUUCUUGAAUGAUCUCGUACUUGCCUGAGCUUGAUUGACCUGUACUUGUAUUGGUGCUUGUGCUUGACUUGUAAGUGCUGAGCGGUAGCAUGUACCACACUCAAUCCGAGUGGAAGGUACCUUUCAUCCCGUCUCACUACUUUUAUCCUCACCCUAUUGGUUAGCCAGUCGAAGCGAGCCAGUAAGGGCUUGGUCGAGGAGACUGGCGAACCAUAGGUACUGUUUAUUGUUUAUUGUUUAUUGUAUAAUCUUUUGGAUAUGGUCCACUGGAUUUGGUAUACUCGAGUAUUACCACCACUAUUAUUUUGGAGUUCGGGCCCGGUAGGGGAUUGAUUGGUGGAUGGAAAUUGGAGUUAAGUGGUGAUCUACUGGACUGGUUAUUCUACUCGAAAGUUGACGGAGUGUCAAUGGAUUCGGAUCAAGUAAUACAACGGGAAUUUGGCUCUUGAGAGCCAUCUGUAUCCUUAUACUUGGAAAUGAUUGUUACUUGUAGUGUUAUUGUUUCUUUUAUGAACUUUUACGCUCGCUCAUUUUUGAGAUUUCAAAUUUUACCUAUUGACCAACUUGCUAAUUGAGUCUGCAUGAAGUUUUGGAAUCUCACUGAGCUUUGGCUCACUCUAUUAGUUUUUGUUUUCCUUACAGGGGGUACGAGCAUAAGCAUGAAGCUGGAAAGGCUAGUUUUGUCUAGAUUUUUUUAACUUUUGUAAUUCUUCUAGUGCUAGCGCUCGAUUAGGGUUAGAAGUGCAACUAGAACUUGAAUCUCUUAUUAUAUUCGGAUAUGUAUGAAUGGUUGAGAUAGAAAUGAAUGUAAAUGUACUUUCUAAGCUUGGGAACUGUAGUUUCCUUUACUUUUGAAGUUGAAACUUAUUUUCUUGAAGUGAGUGAGUGAGUCCUGGCGAGAGUUGGGCAGGCGGUCCGCUAAACCCUGGGAUACGCCUUAGGGGGAGGUGAGGUCGUCAUACCCUUGAUUCUGUUGGGAUGCUAAACAUUCUAAAAUAUUUGUUAUCUAAUUUAUGGCCAUCGCGAUUUGGUCCCCUAUCUCGGCCUUGGGUUCCUGAUUUGGUUGGCCACAAAUUCCAAUCACUCCCUCUUAAUCUCGGGAUUAUCGAGGCCUACGUGGAUAUUCCCCAAUAUCAUUUCCCUAGCUUUCUUUUCCACACUAGUCCAAGUCCAUAUAUUUAUACAUAGAAGGAUAGGAAUUAGUUAGGCAUGUAGGCGAAGAUAAUCAAUCAAGAGUUCAAAAUACAUUUAUUUGAUAUCACAAAAUAAAUACAUAUUUAGUUAAGAUCAGCCCGUACCUAAAAUCAAGUAAGAACAUAACAAAUCCCACAUUCAUAGGAGAAAUUAAAUAUGUACGGAAUGCUAACACUUCGAACAUUCACAACAACCAUCAAAGUUCAAGUCUAACCACAAUCUAUUAAAAUCCUAGCCAAACAUUUACUAGAUUAGUCCAAAAUAGCACUCAUCAAUCCAAUCCCCUCAAUCGGUUCAAUUUCAAGUCCAAUACUAAAAUCCUUCGUGCCUUGACCUUUGCCAUUAUAACUUACCUCAAAUUCACUCGUGAUUCCUAUUUGCAUCACAAUGCAAUAUACAAUACCCUUCCCAAAACACAAAUAUUCCAUCAGGAGAAAUAUUUAGCACUCAAGUACAAGAACCCAAAGCUAGGAGAAUUCACGACUUAGGCCGUACAUUCCCAAGUGCAAAUUAACCCAGUUCGAGAUUCCUACUCGACAUACAUAUCUAAUUUUCCUCAACAAUGGUAAAUAGUUCACACUUAACAGGUCAAAUCCCAUAGUCCGAGAACCUUUUCCCAGCAUGAGCUCAUUAAGAGCUUUGAUACCACCUGUGACGACCCCACCUCCUCCUAAGGCGUACCAAAGGGCUUGGCGGACCGCCUGCCAAAAUCUUGCCCGGACUCACUCAUAAACAUUAACUCCAGAGAUAACAUUAAAUCCAAAAUAAGCAUGAGACUCACCAAGAAACUAUUAUAAACCAUCCAGCUUUCCAAAAUGUCCAUACUUAUGUGUACAACUAAACGGAUCGAAAUACAAGAAGUUCAAUCAAUUCACUAAGUAUAAUUAGAAUGGCAAAUACUUAGAAUGAGGACUACAACUUCCGAAUUCACAAUUCUUUUGAUACCAAAUUAGAAAUACUAUAAUUCUUCAAAAUAACACUUACAUGCUACAAAUCAUCCGAAUAUACAAGCCAAAGUACAACCCAAAAAAAAUAAAAUAAGAACUUGAGCAAUUAGUACUACAAUACAGUGCCGGCCAAAUACAAAUUUAAAAUUCCUAAUACAACUAAUACUAUGUUUGUCUCUCUCAUCCUGCACCCCGUUAAGAAAAAUAAAUAAAAGGGAUGACCUUUCGCCCAAUGAGGUACCAUAAGUAUAUGCAGUUAGUCAUAAAAUAGAAAUAAACUCACAUAGGAGUAACAAUUUGAAAGAUAAACAAGUACAACAAUUAACAGAGUAAACGAUACAGAUGGCUCUCAAGAGCCAAAUUUCCAUUUGCAAUAGCUUGAUCCACGCUCAUUGACUCUCCAUCAAUGUUUAAAGAACCAAUAAUACUAUCCGUAAAUCCCAACUUAACUCCAAUUCCCCUUCACCAUUCAUAUCCCUUCCCGGGCCUGAACUCCAAACUAAGAGGGGGGUAAUAUUCGAGUAUACCAGAAAUUCAGAGUCUCCAAUACUUAAAGAUUUCAAAGAUACAAUCCCCAUGACUUGUCAAUUUACAUCGACCAAGCCCUUGUUGGCUCGAGUCGAUCAACUAACCGGUGGGGUUUGGGCCCAAGUUCACUGAGUGGUCGUUCCAAACGACAUUCAAAUCAAAUACAAAUGACAAAUUUCAGGUAAACAGUAGAAAAGUCAAAAUCAAGUGGGAUCGAGUGCGAUAAAGUAUACACCCGUCCAGUUUAGAGAAAGCCAACCAUAGUCAUAAUUUCAUAAGUUUCAGUCGCAUCGUGGUUCACAUAAACAACUAGUCAUGCAAGCGGUACAGUCAUCAGUUCAAGUGAAGCAACUUUAAAAGCUUGUCCCUGAGUUAUGCUCAUGCUCACCGACAAACCCUAAGAACAACCAAGAUACUAUAUUAUGAUUCAACCAUAUGAAACUUAGGUGAACCAAGGAAAAUCAAAGUAGAUAGUAGGGCAAUGAUUUAAGUAUGGUUUUGGAGUGAAAAGAAAGUAUUUGGACCCAAGAAACAUGAUUAACCAAAGAGUUCCCCCACUUUAGGUCAUUGCUGGAAAUUUCCAGCAACAAAACAAUGAAGAAAAUGAGGUUGUUAGCCCCCUUAAAAUUAUGACAUUCACUCCAAUUCCACACCUCAUUAUAGUACAAGGUUUUAACAAGUAAAGUGAGCAAAAUUUAGUCCAUAAGACCCCAAACCAGCAGACUUAAAGGCCAAAGAACAGCAAUGUAUGAAACUGCCCAGCAUACCCAAAACUUCAGCAAUGAAACAAGUACAAACAUGAGGUUUUCACCUCCCAAAAUUCGUAGUUUUCACACAAGAUCAACACACCAAAGUAUUAACCAGGGUUUGAAGUAAGGUUUGGCCAAAACUCAUCAUAAAAAGGUUGGAAAACAAGGUGUAACAUGGCCCUUCAAUUCGGCCAGCGUACAAGACAGCUUAGGAAAAACCAAAGGAACACCAAUAAAACGUCUCCAAAUUAACUCAAAUUCAACAUACCAGUAGGGCUUAAGAUUUUACCAAGAACCCUAGACAAAAAUCACCACAAAUACACCCCAUAGUUAAAGGGAAACAAGCUACUACAAUCCGGACAGCAUUUCCCCUGUUUUCCCUCAAUUUUUCCACCAAAUCACAAAGUACAACUUCUUAGCAAAUCUACCACAAUCAAGGCUAUAAUUUUCAGAUUAUAAAGGGCAGCAAUUCUAAGCCAUAAAUCUAGUCAAAACACACAAAUAACAAACUCAUAUCUCAGCCUACAAAAGCUGCAAAAUCACUAACCCUAAGCUGUAAUUUUUUCAUCACAAGCUGGAAGCUAGAAAAUCAUAUGCUAAUGCUAAUAAAUCAUAACACAACUGAAAUGAACUCAUCAAAGCUGGAAAUCCUCAACCAAAUCUGGAAAUUUUGAUUCACCACAUAAAUCAUGAAAUUUUCCAUGAAUUCCACCAUAAUUAACCCUUAAAUCCAGUCAAAAGUAAGUUAAAUGACAAGAGAUGGUUUCUAGACUUUGUUACCUUGAAACCCAAAGAAGACCAAGCAGCCACAAGCUUCUUCCUCCAAAAACUCUCCACCAAAGUUCCUCCUCCUACCUCAAAAUCAGCUUUUAUAGAUUGAUUUGCAAGGUUAAGGUGAAAACUCAAGGAUCAAGCAAGGUUUUUGUGUUGGAAAUGGAGUUUUCUUUCUCUCUUUUCUUGCUAGAAGUUUCAGCCAAGAGGGGGAAGAAAGUGAGGGAUUUUUGCUCCAAUUUUUCAAGAUAAAGCCAAGACUAAUCUUGGUCAAAGCUAGCUUAAAUGGCCGCCAAGUGUCACCGUAGGAUUCCAAGCUUAUCACUUGUCUUUCCUUUGUCUUAUCUCACUAAUACAUAUUGUUUUCUUCUAAUCCACUUUUACCAAUGCUAAUCACAUAAACGCUCUCAUAAAAUACCCGUUUUUGUUCACUAAAUUUAUUACGCACCUCAUGAGUGGGUCCCACUUCCAUAAUACAUCACGAACUUAAUAUGCACUAACUUAUAGAAGAAAAAUGAUUAAAAAUCUUGAUUCACUUAUACAAAAAAUAUCUAGAAAAUUACGGCAAUAAAGUAAAGUAAAGAAACAUAUUCAAAGAAAUAAAAUAAUGAAAAAAAUAUAAAAUAAUUUUCGGGUCCUCACAACUUCAUUCUAGAUAGAAAUAAGCUUAUAUUGUGAUGAUUCAAGCCCAAAAGUUUGCAAGGAUGAUGAGUUUCAAAUGUGAUUCGAGUCACUAGAAGAAGAAAACAAAGAAACUUGUUGAAAAUGAAAGUCAGCUUGAAUCCCUCCGAACAAUCAGGCCAAAAAUUGGAGGGAUAGCUUGGAGGGAUUUGAGUUAGAAAGUUUUGGCAAAACAAGGGACAAAUCUGCCCAAAAUUUGGAGGGAUUGUUUGGAGGGAUUCUGGUCAAAAUUUGGGAUUCAACUUGCGCAACUUGAUCUCAACUCUGUUAUUUCACUUCUUUUGAGGGACAAAUUUGGAGACCUUUUAGCUGUAAAAGAGUGCAUCAAGAACCAUCUUUUUCUAUAUAUACACAUUUGUUUCGGGAAUCAAAGGAGAGCUUGGAGAGGGGGAAGGAAUACCACAAAAAUGUAAUUUCUUAGUUAUUGAGUUUAGGUAGUAUAGAAUAGUUUAGUUUUAGUUAGUUCAUCCUUUCUUGUUUAUUAGUUAGAUGAAGAAUGCAAGGAGAGAAUUCAUGUGAUAGGGUUACUCUAGCUUCCCAACUCUUUAUCUUUUGUAAUUAAUUCUAAGUUUAAUUAUUAUACAAGUUUGGAUUUUAUGUUUAUUAUGUCUUUCUAAAGUUUAUGCAUUGGAUUUUGGUUGAACUUUCUAUGAUUGUAUUGUGUUGAUUUCUUGGCUAUUUGAUGAUAUUAUAUUGAGCAAAUUAUUUAACAUUUUUGCUACUCUAAUCAUGAUUAACUUGGUACAAUUAGUUGUGAUCAUCUAAAGGUAUUGUUUUUUCAAUGACAAUUGGGAUUUAACACUAGUUCAAAAAGUGUUAAACCUAGAGAGUUCACUCACGAUAAUAGAGGUGUACCUUUGUGGCUUUUUGUGGUUUUGUUCUAUGUAAUUUUAUAAAAGAAAUGAACUUGUGACUAAUUUCAUAACCACAAGAGUAGGUAUGCAUUAGUUAUGGAUAUAGUUGAUUCACUAUGAGAGUAGAUUUAACAUAUAUGAGGAAAUUACGCCAUAACUAGUCGAGGUAGUAGUAUUUAAUGACUGAAAAAUUGCACUUGCAUGAGUAGUUAGAGAUACUAUGACCUAAUGAUUUUUCAUUUGCUAUCUUCUUGCAUAGUUUAGCUUAUUUUAUUUCCUUUAAAUUGUUGAUUAUCUAAAUAAUAGGGGAGGUUUAGUAUAUCGGUAGUUGUCCAUUCUUCUCUGUGGGUUUAAUCCUUAAUAUCUUAUACUCAAUCUCGACUUGUGUACUUGCAGAAAAUCACGUGUAAGGUAUUUAGGAUUUUAUAAAUGUAAAACUUGACUGUAGAAUGAAUUUAAUUGUUUUAUGCAUACACCGCUCUUGUCAGGACACUUGUGUUUUGUUGAGUUUCUUCAAGUUUGUUAAUUUUCCUUGUGUUGUUUAUCAUUGUUGUUAUUUUGCUUAAUUUAAGUUCUUGAUUAGUUUAAAUAAUUGAGUAAGAUAGAAGCCUUGGUAAUUGGUAAGUGAUUCUCAUAGUAUCCAUCUUGAUUCCUCCAUACUACAAUUAAUGGCCUGUAUACUUGCCGUUAAUGAGGUUUUAGGUAUAAAUUUGGAGUGUAGGUUUAAACAUCGUCAUUACUCCUAUAAUAUUUAGUGCCUCUAUCAUAUUCACUCUAGACCUUGACCUUUUUUAGUCACUAAACCACUUUAUGUCAUACUAGUUUUGUUAAAAAAGACUUUCUUACCUCUCUUUUAACCUUUAACUCCUUGAUACUUUAGUUGUUUUGCCUAUUUUUCAUCACUUACUGAAAUUGCCAAUAGAUUACACAAAUUUUAUGUUGAAAUGUUCCUCAUGAUAAGCAAAACAUGAGACUAAUGACAAUUAACAAUGAAGUUACCAAUAGAUCAGCAAAGUGGAAGCCAAAAACCUUGAUUAUAUGUGCACUUUGCUCAGAAAUAAUCUCUCAACACAUGAAUUAGAACACAUUUUUACUGCAUCAUAUCGACAUCAAUGAACAUGAUUAAAUGCUACAAUGCCAUAAUAUCAUGCCAUUAACAAAGAAAUUCAGAAAAUUAUAACUGAAAGCUAAAUGAGUUUCAAACUCAAAGUAAAUUUCAAUAACUAAUUCUAAAAAACUGUACAUCAAAUGAUUUCUUAUAUAACACUAGGUGUCCAGUGGUGUUCUGAUGUUGGUUCUGAAUUCUUUCCAUCAAACUGUCUAUUUUCAUAAUAUUUCUUUUUUAUUUCAAUUGAGCUAAAAAUUAUGUCUAGAACUAAAGAGUUAGAGGUGCUAAAGGUUAGAAGGUGAAGCAUUGAAAACACUUUUGUUAGUUGAAUGCUAGAUUUGGCAUUUUGCUAAAAAAAUUGAAUAUCAUUAGCAUUGGCAGUUUGCCUUGGGGUUUAAAUUACCCAAAACAAAUAUUAGAGGCAAAAGUAAAUUUAAAAUUAUAUUAAAGUUAGUAGAAAAUUAAUUUUACACUACUGAACUUUUUUUUAAUUCUUCCCAAUCCUUCAUGCCUCACUCCCCCAAAUGCCGACCUAGGAAUAUUUGAACUCUGGAUUUUUGUAGCUUGGAGGACUCUUAUUUAAGAUCCUUCCCUAACCACUAUGUAAUACCAAUGAUUUAUAAUUAGGUGUUCCAUUUUUGUAACUAUAGGAUGAAGGAUAUUUUGGGCGUAAACGUACGUAACUAAGACAACAUUUUACUAGUUGACAAGUAUUUGUUUAACAUAAUUUAGUAGGUCUUUAUGUGUUUAUUUUAGUAUGUUUUAAGAAGUUUUACAUGUGUUUUAACUAGGGUUUUGCAUGAAUUUGUGAAAUUAGGGUUUGCUGGGUGAUGUUGCAAAUUUCAUGAUUCAUUUGUGGUCUACUCUUGCUUUGUAGCUACUUGAGAUAUGUGUAUCAUUUAUAGAGAAAUUUGAAGAUGAAUGGAUGAAGUUAAUGAUGAAUUGAUGAUGAGUUCCAAUGAUCACGAAGUUCAAAAGAGUUGGAUAAAGCUAGUGCAAAGCAAAAAUGAAAUGACGAGCUAAAGGUGCAAAGUUACUGCAAGAGGGCCGACUACAUUUUCUUGAUGACUAGCUAAAGGACUGGUUAUAAUGAUAAUCAAACCAAUGCCAAUUGAACAUUUGAACAUUGCCAGCUGAGAAAUGAACACUGCUGGUUAUAAGGUCAACUACCAUGUCGGUCAAAUCUUUUGUUGAGUAUUUCAAGGUUUACUAUUCACUCAAUUUCGUUCCUUUUGGCCAUUCCAAAGUUUCAUUAUAAAUAUGGAAAGAUAGGAACCCUUGAGGGACAUAAUUGAGAAGAGAAAAGAGAGGCAAAAAAAAAACCCUAAAGAGCUUUUCUUGCUCCUAACCCUAGCAACCUAUCUCAAGAAGAAAACCCUAAUCAACUUUGUUCAAGACUUGAAGAAGAGAAAAGCUAGCAACUCUUUUUGAGUUCGAUUGAAACUCUAAAACAGUGGAUCGAGACCAAUAAUUUUGCCUAGCAAUUCUAGUGAAGUUGCUCCUGUUCUUUUUCCUUUUUGACUUGGUGAUGAAAGAGCUCGGUUCUAUCUAUACUCUUAUGUGUUCAAACAAUAUGUAAGGCUAAACCCUUUGUUUUUGAGGCUAUAUAUGAAUUUUGUUAUGUGAACUGCUAAAUUGAUUCUAGUUCAUAUGUUGUGUUUAUUGCCUGAUAGCUCUUGAAACUGCUUUCAUACUUGUGUCUGAUUGAUCAACAAGACAAGUUAUCUUGGCUAUUGUUAGUGAUGGAUGUAGCUAAUAAUAUGCAGAUCCAGAUUUUUAAAAUCUAAAUAUCUAAUUCACGUGUUGUAGGAGAAGUAUUUAGGCAGAUAAUUUGAUAAUUUCUUAGAUCUUCAAGAACUUGUUCUAGUCCUUCAACUAUGUUUACAGGCGGGAUUAGAUACGAGUAAGUUGUUCAUUUGUGGUAACAAUGUUCAACAUAAUUGAAAAUUAAUCCCUAACAAGUAAUAAAAGUAUAAUAUAUUCAACAAGAUCAAUUCAUGUUCAUCUAAACAAGGGAUUACAAAAACCCUAAGAACUUUGUUUUCUCUAAUUUCUUGCUCAAUUAAUUAGAUUUUUGUUAAGUUCAAACAAUUUGUUAUAUGAGUGAUUUAUUAUUUUUCUAUUGAAGAAUUUUUUAUUAUUUAGAUAAUAGAGUGAGUAAGUAAUCGUGGUAAUUAUAAUUGCUCCCUGUGGUUCAACCCUAAUCUAUUCUAUGUUUUAAUUUGACCUAUAUACUUGCCAUCAAAUGGAGUAAUUGGGCUAAAAUAAUAGGACAAUUGGGAAUUUUAACUUGAAAACCUAUCUCACGUCAAAUUUUUUAUGCUGUUUACGAGGACUGAUUUAAUAUUAGGGCAAAAAUUAGAUUUAUUAAUCUAAAUUUCUUUAAUUUUAGUACAAUUUAUUGUUUUCAGUGCCAAAUUUUAAAUUUUUGUUGAUUCUCUUAUUUUUGGUAUUUUGUAGUGCAUGCACUGGAAGCUUCGAGUUGUAGUUCCAUUUGAUCCUGAGAUUGAAAGAGCUGCAAGAAAAGCUAGGAAACUUGCACUACAACAAGCUAAUCCAAUGGAGGACAGCGAAGGAGAGACUUUGGUUGAGUAAUCUAAAUUUGAAGAAGUGGCAAAAAAGAGAGCAAAUCGAAUUUAACAAGUCUUGAAAGACUUUGCAUUGCUAGAUGUUUCUGGAGCUCAAACUAGCAUUGCAAGAGUAGUAUUGAAUGUCAUUAACUUUGAAAUCAAGUCUUCCAUGAUUCAAAUGAUUCAACAAGAGCAAUUUAGUGAAAAUAUGUGACACUAUUAAAUUUAAUGGUGUAACUGAUGAUGCUAUUAAUCUAAAAUUAUUUCCUUUCUCUUUGCGAGCUAAGGCUAAGGCAUGGUUAAACUCACAUGCUUCUAAUAAUUUUGCUACUUGCACUAAUUUGUCACGAGCAUCUUUUAACAAGUAUUUCCCAUCUGGUAAAACUGCAAAAUUACGCAUAGAUGUAACUAGUUUUCAUCAACAGGAAGGUGAAUUCUUAUAUGAAACUUGAGAGAGGUUUAAGGAGUUACAAAGAGAACGUCAACAUCACAGAAUUUUUGAUUGGCUGUAUAGUCCUAACUUUAUCAUUGACUUAGUGCACUGCCACCAUCCCGAUAGGAUGUUUAGCUACUAGGUAAAUCUCUUACACUGGAAAAAAGCAGGAAAACAAAAAAGAAAAAGGAGAAAGAAAAGAAGCUUGUAUACUGUCUCAAGACAUCAAAAACAAAUGACACAAAACAGUACAGAACUAAAACUUAACUCGUAGAGCAAAAAGGAGAUGGACACGGGGGCACCAUAACUUCCACAAUUCCGUCAAGCAUCUGGCUCACCUUCCUCAUUUUAGGCCUAAGCGAUGGGUUUUCUUGGAUACACCAUAUAGCAACCAUCAGAAAUCUCUUUAGCAUCAUUUUAUCCUCUAAAGCCUCUAAAUCAUUGUCAACAAACUUAUCCAAUCUUCCUUCUUGAAAGCAAUCCCAAGCCCAAUCAGUCAAAAUUGGAUUUUCUCCUUCACCAAUGUUCUCAAUGUCCUCCACACAUUUUCGGCAAGAAAUGAUCUCUAGUAACAAGACACCAAAACUAUAAACAUCGACCUUUGCAUUGAUUUGGUUGUUCCUGAACCAUUCAGGCGCAACAUACCCUUUUGUUCCACGGAUACUAGUCAUUGUUUGACUCUGACUAAUCAUCAAAAGUUUUGCCAAUCCAAAGUCGGAAAUCCGAGCAUUGAAAUACUCAUCCAGAAGUACAUUUUGAGGCUUUAUAUCACAAUGGAUGAUCUGAGUUCUGCAUUCUUCAUGAAGGUAUACGAGUCCUCUUGCAAUCCCGAUAGCAAUUUGGGUUCUUAGGUUCCAGCUCGGUUUUGGAUCAUGUAACAGCAAUCUUGCAAGAGUACCAUGGCUCAUAUACUCAUACACCAAUAGACGAUGUUGUCCUUCAUCACAGAAUCCAAGCAGACGGACUAAAUUCUUGUGGUUAGUCUGACCAAUUGUUUUCACUUCAGCUCGAAAUUCCUUCUCAGCAUCUUUAGCCACUCUGUCUAACUUCUUGACAGCAAUAAUACUGCCUUUGGAACUGAUUUGUAACUCGCCUUUGUACACAAUGCCAAAUGAUCCCCUACCCAACUCUUCCUUGAAUCCAUCGGUAGCUUCUGCAAGUUCUUUGUACGGAAAAAUGUGCAAAUUUAUAUCCUUAGCAUCAGUGUUCAAAUGAAAUAUUACCUUCUUUUUCUGGUAUAUGAGGUAAACACCCAAACAAGCUGCGGUAAUGAAUGUCAAGUUUACUAAGAAAGAGCUGCCAAGAAGGACAGAUCCCACAAGUAUCAAGGUGCCUCGGUCCUUUGACUUUGAUUCUACCGGAUAACCUUGAGGAACAAUCGGAUAUGCUGGAGGAGCAUCACUUUUGUGGUAUUUGAUGAAAGCUUUUGACUGAAGUCUAUAGUCCACCCUCCCAUUAAUAAGUGGCAAUUUCAACAUCCAGCAACUGUUGACUCUAAAAAUGGCAACUGCACAUAAACAGUUCUGCAAGCAAGAUAGCUUACAGAUGGUUUCACUUGACGGACUUAUUUGAUAAAAGUCAUUCAUUGGCCAAUCAGUGUCAUUCAUUACCUCAAAAUCGUAAAGGUUUUCUACAGAGUCCCCCUCUACUCCACCACAGCUAACAAGAGAGUUUGCUUUGCAGUCACCAUACAUGUUGUUUGGAUCACGCAGCACAUAACCUUUUGGACACUUGCAAACUGGUCUUCCAUUUUCGAGCAUGCAGACGUUGUUAUAUCCACAAGCUAUGACCCCCUUAUACUUGAUGGUGAGACAUAUAUUAUCUGGUACAGACCAAAGAAUCGUCCAAUUUGAAUUGCUAGUUGAAUUUCUUGGAUGAUAGUAAUGCGUGAAGAGCCCGUCGAAAUCUAACGUUGCCCUGUGAUAAUAAUUUUCAGAUCCUAGUCUUGAAGGACUCAGCUGUUCUGUUUGAUUGUUCACUUUCCUUAUAUACAUGGUGCCUCCACUAUCGAAGAUAACCUUGUAACCAUCAUUUGACCAAUUUGCGGUAUUUGGGUAAUACACACCAUCGUCACUGAUUAGCACAUUUCGGCUGGUAGUAAGCACUACAGCCCCUUGAAAAUGGAGAUAAAAUCUUCCUUGAGAGAAGUUUGUUGCUGACUGUCGAGAAGACAGAGUACCAUUGAUUUCCAAUUCUUGAUUUGGCAGUAUCGUAUCAGCAGGAUGUUUGAAGCUUUCCCAUAGCCAGCUUUCAUCACUCCCUUUGAGGAUAAAAUUGCCUGUGUCGUUCAUGAAACCAUGAUCAACUUGAUUAGGAUUGACAUCAGCACUCCAAAGUUGUAAGCCUUGAGGGUCACGGAACACGAGACCCGUUUGAGCAUCAAGCGCCACAGUCGAUCCACGAGGAACCGUGUUGGUUGGAUUAGCAUACCAAACUACAGUUUUGUCUGGUAUGUUGUUAUACCAUAUGGAAAACAAGUACAGAUCCUUGUCCGGAAUUUUCUGGAAACCAAAUGCAAAAUCGCCGGAAGGUGAAAGCCACGAAUUGGAUGUUUCACCGGCAGUCAAGCUCCUGCCCAAAGGCACAAUACCAUUAUUUUGAGCCAAAGCAGAAAUGAAGAAGAGAAAUAUGAAGAAUAUGAGUUGUAUGCAUAGGUUUGCCAUUGCAUGAGAUAGUUUAGUCCUCGUCAUUAAACCAUAUGUAGAGUAAAUCAUGAUGUCCUUUGCUUUGAAGGUUCUUUAAUUAAUUAGUCAGCUCUGAAGGCUUUGGACUUCGGAGUCAUUUUCCACAUCCAACUAUACAGCUGGAAUACGGUGACUACCAUUUUGAAAUUGUCAUGAUGAGCUAGUGAAUUAACACAUUUUGAAAUUGUCAAUCAACAACAUAAAUCCAACGAAAUACCAGCCUUUCAAAUAUGAAGUCAAUCAAUCGAUACUAGCAUGGUUUCUUUCGCACCCAGAAAAUUUAGGAAACUUUUACACGCUAAGACAUAGUCAACAAAUGAAAGCUCUUGGUUUCUCCUCGACAUUUCUACAAUCAGAAUAAUAUUCAGCACCAUAAAAUGCAUAUUAAAGAACAAAAAAGUACUAUUAUAGUUGCAUCCAAGGAAAUUAGUAACAUGCAAGAAAAAGUUGCUCGUGUACUUGAGUAGUUAAAACUAUAUUAUAUAUAAUUAAAACAAUGCCAGCAUCAAUUUUUUUUUAAGAAAGUUCUGUUAGAAUAUCUGUAUAGCCCAAUCUAUAAUAUUCCACUGUAUGGACCAAUUACUACGUAUAAUAUUAUACUAUAUUCAUGAUACAUUCCCUCACUAACUUAACAAGGUAAAUAAGAUAUAGUUUCUCACUAACUUAGGGAUAAUUGCAGAAACCUCCCCUGAGGAUUUUGACAUUUGCACUAACCUCCCCUGUGGUUUAAAAAAUUACACUGACCUCCCCUGAGUUUACUAAUCCUUUGCAAAUUCAGUCCAAACGAUUAAAAUAUUAUUUUAGGGAGUGAAAUUAGAAGGUUUUACCAAAUUUGUCCUUUGUACUACAUGUCCAAUGAAUGACAAAGUACUACAAAUCAAUUAACAAUUAAUAAAUUUUAAGGAGUAUAGUUUAUAAGCAAAUAUGCAUUACCUAUUUAAAGUACCGGCUCUUUAUGAGUAUUUUACUUUCAAACAUUAAUUUAAUACAAAUAUUUACGCUCAAAUACAGAUUUGUAUUUACUUUCAAACAUUUAAUUUUUAUUAAAUACAAAAACUACCAAUCUCUCUUCCGUAAAAAUAUUAAUAUAACACUUUUUCAAUUUUAGUUACAAACAUUUAUGUAUUUAACAUAAAUUAAAUGAUUCAGAAUAAAAUGUCCAUAAAGAACCAAUACUUUACUCAUGUAAUGGAUGAUUGCCAUAAAGAAUUAAUACUUUAUGGGCUAUUUCUUUUUUUUUAAAAAAAUAUUUAAUUUAUAUUAAAUAAAUAACCUACCGAUUUCCUUUUGCAAGAAUAUUACUAUAACACUUUUUAAAUUUUACUUACAAACAUUGAUAUAUUUAUCAUAAAUUAAGUGUUUGAUAGUAAAAUACCCGUAAAAAGCCAGUACUUUAAAUGAGUAAUGUGUGUUUACCCAUAAGGAACCGGUAACUAUUUAAAGUACCGGUUCUUUACGGGUAUUUUACUUUUAAACAUUUAAUUUAAUACAAAUAUUUACGCUCAAAUACAGAUUUGUAUUUACUUUCAAAUAUUUAAUUUUUGUUAAAUACAAAACCUACCAAUCUCUCUUCCGUAAAAAUAUUAAUAUAACACUUUUUUAAUUUUAGUUACAAAUAUUUAUGUAUUUAACAUAAAUUAAAUGAUUCAUAAUAAAAUGCAUAUAAAAAGUGAAUACUUUACUCAUGUAAUGGAUGAAAACCAUAAAAAUUUAAUACUUUAUGGGCCAUUUCUUUUUUUUUUUAAAUAUUUAAUUUAUAUUAAAUCAAUAACCUACCGAUUUCCUUUUUACAAGAAUAUUACUGUAACACUUUUUGAAUUUUUCUUACAAAUAUUGAUAUAUUUAUCAUAAAUUAAAUGUUUGAAAGUAAAAUACCCGUAAAGAGCCGGUACUUUAAAUAGGUAAUGUGUAUUUGCCUAUAAACUAUACUCUUUAAAGUUUAUUAAUUGUUAAUUGAUUUGUAGUACUUUGUCAUUCAUUGGACAUGUAGUACAAAGGACAAAUUUGGUAAAAACUUCUAAUUUCACUCCCUAAAACAAUAUUUUAAUCGUUUGGACUGAAUUUGCAAAGGAUUAGUAAUCUCAGAGGAGGUCAAUGUAACUUUUCAAACCACAGGAGAGGUCAGUGCAAAUGUCAGAAGCCUCAGGGAGGUUUCUGGAAUUAUCCCACUAACUUAAUAGAAUAAAUAAUGAUGUGAACUGAUAUGUAUUGUUAGUUACAGAGUCCUAAGACAAUUGAAAGAAGUAACUCAUGUUCCUCAUAUGUAGACACUUUAUCACGUCAAUGCUCUGGCCUAUCUUAUCAGUAGACUUGACACAUUGAGUUUGUUUUUGACUCUACGCGCAUGAUAAGAAAAGUUAAGACAAGGGCUCCUAGUCCUUUCACUAGCCUAUGAUAAAGUUUAUUUUUUAUCCAUCAAUUAGAACAACAUAAGCCCCACGGAUUUAGCCACAUGGUAGCAGCGUUCCCUUGGAACCUUCAGGUCCCGGGUUCGAAACUGCGCUAUGGGGACGCCUAUGCACUUAUCGUGCCUUGGUCGGGUUGGGGCGCCGGGCUCAGGCUGCAGGAGAUUAGUCGGGUCCUGUAAGAAUUGACCUGGAUACCCUUGUGUCGAAAAAAAAAAAAUUAUUAGAACAACAUAAGAUAGACUUAGGGUGGAGGGAAACUAGGUGAGUUAGGCGAAGGAAAACUAGGUUCCAUAUUUAAGCACGCAUGGAUAAAAUCAAGAACGAUAUGCAAUCAGGAACGCCAAUUGACAUCUACAUGAUGGAGUAAUUAUGCUCAUAAGUUAUGCCUUAAAUUUAUUGUUUGUGAUUUAAAAGUUUACAUCAAGAUUAUACUCUUAAUGUCUAACAAGUUGCAUCAGACUUAAUAUUUAGAGAAAAUGGCCUGUUUCAUCCAUUACAUUUCGUAAAAAUAUUCUUUUCGUCCCUCACUUUCAAAAUGAAGCAAAUUUGUCCCUGACAUUUAAAAAUUAAACCUAUUACAUCCCUGAAUCUAAUUUUCAAUCUGAAUCAAACCAUUCAAUAAUCCAAUAAUAAAUUUCGGAAAUAGAAUUGAUAGAUCACUCGAUCAAUUUCAUCAUAUUCACAUGACAUUUAUUAAACCAAAAAAAAAUUAUAACAUAAAAGGCCAUUCUUUUCUUGGAAUAGUAGAGUUUUUUUUUUUGGUAAAUCUUUUCAUACACCGUUAGUAUAUCCGCUUGCUAAUCUAGAUGUGUAUCAUAAAUAUAAAAUUUGGUGUUUAAAUUUAAAUUGAAAUGAUAUGGCGGUACAUAAAACUAUCAGUGUAUACAAUGAUAAUGUAGGAAAGAUUAAUCUUUCUUUUUUAUGUUAUAAUUUUUUAUUUUUUAUUUUUUAUUUUUGGGUUCAUUAAAUUUUACAUGAAUAUCAAGUUGAGUUAACCAAGUGAUCUACCAAUUACACCCCCAAAAUUUGUAAUCAGGUUGAUUGAUGGUUUGAUUCAGAUUGAAAUUUGGGUUCAGGAAUGUAAGAACUUCAGUUUUUAAAUGUCAAUGACGAAAUUGCUUCGUUUUAAAAGUGAGGGACGAAAAGAAUAUUUUUGUGAAAUGUGAAGGAUGAAACCGAUCAUUUUUCCUAAUAUUUAACAUGUGGUAUCAAAGUACGUAUAAGUUUAAUGUCUUAAUGUCUAACAUAACAUGUGGUGUCAAAGUUUAGGCUUAAUGUCUACCAUGUGCUGUUGAAUUUUAUGACUUGUAAAUCAAUUAAUGUCUGACAUGUGGCAUCAAAUAAUUGAAUAUUUGUAUUUUUGCGGGAUUAGUUAUUUUCUACGAACCCCUGCAUAUUUUUGCCUUGUUUGUGGGUGGCAGCCAUUUUGGACUCGGACUUUUGUCCACGUUUGGCUGCAUGUCGGCCGGUUCUACACCCCUUUUUUUCUGGGAAGUAACCAUUGGGGCCAGAAGGAGUGGUUCAAGUCUGGUCAACCCGAGUCCUUUUUGGCUUUUAUACACUGGAAUACAAGUAAUGAACGGGACUUCGAUAAGGAAAGCAUUGGAGGGAUAUGGUGGGAAGGACAUCAAGAGACUGAGGGACAAGCAAAUUGACAUGAUUCCAAGAAUCACAUAAGCUUUUGCGAUUCCAGGUGGAGGAUUGGGCAAUCUUAAAGAUGCCUUCAACACGGGUGCCGGGGGAAGUGCUAAGAAGAAUACUAAAAAAAAGGGCCAAUUCAUACAUGCGAGAGCUCGAAAAUUUUCAUAUUUUAUUUAAAAUUUAGUGCAUUUUACACUUUAUUUUCUUUUUAUUAUUGAGUGAUUUAUAUGCCUAAAUUGUCCCUUUAAUAAAUGAGUGAAUCGAUAUACAUGUUAGGAGAAUUGUAUCAUUUACACCAUAAAAGCAUUAGUAUUAGUUGAGAUUUGGUGUGGUGGAAAAUAAAAGGGAGGAAAUACACGAAGUGACCUUGUAUAACAAGUGUUAGUACACUUGUCUUUGCUUGCCAAGUUGCUGUAUGUUUAAAAGAGAGUUACCAAGUUUCAAGUAUUAAUCACAAGACACAUUAGCUCCUACCUACUUCCAUAAGAUGACCGAGAGCAAUGUAAACUACUAGUACACUUGUCUUUGCCUCCAUAGCUGUUGCACAUUUAAGGAGAAGAGUCAUCAAACUUCAACAUCCUCCUCAUGAAACAUUAACUUCUAUUACUUUCCAUUAGAAACCAGGAGUAUGAUAGAGCCAAGAGAUAGAGUAGCACUUGCCUUUUGUCUGCCAUUAACAACCGAGAGACAGAGUGGAAUGAAAUCAAAAUUCCUUCUCGUCCUUUGCCUGUUCAAAAUCGAGUGAGACAACAAGGGAAACUAGGAACUCUUUUCUUUCUUCUACCAUGAACACCAGCCAAGAAAACAAGGAAACUCUAGCCUGUUUAGUUAAGGAAUCGAGAGAGAGGAAAGCUGAAAUUUUCCAGUCCACAACGUGAAGAAAUAAGAGGUAGUUAACUAAGCUUUCUUCAAUUUCCUUCCACUUUCAGUUAGUAAUGUUUUAGAUUAAGUCAAAACCAAGAAAAGAAGAAAGUUUACUGAGGAGAGGUUCAUCAAAGCUGGAAAAUUUGUUUAAAGUUUCUGCAUAUUACCCGAUGUUGUUAAACCAUAAACUUCUGGUUGUUUGCCUUCCAAAACCUGUUAGAUUGUAACUUCAUGCGUUAUAUAUGCUCCCAAGUAUACAUAUUUUGGCAUACAUGAAAUAUUUGACAUGAACUCAAGUAGAAUAAGUGUAAGAAAAUGAAGAAAAUCUUGCUGAAGUUCUUGUUUUGACUCUGCGUGUAGAC
rnacentral:lncRNA from 1 species